UACGUAGGUGGCAAGCGUUGUCCGGAUUUACUGGGCGUAAAGAGCGCGCAGGCGGUCGUUCAAGUCGCGUGUGAAAGCCCCCGGCUCAACUGGGGAGGGUCACGCGAUACUGAUCGACUCGAAGGCAGGAGAGGGUAGUGGAAUUCCUGGUGUAGCGGUGGAAUGCGCAGAUAUCAGGAGGAACACCGAUGGCGAAGGCAGGUCACUGGGCCGCAACUGACGCUGAGGAGCGAAAGCAUGGGGAGCGAACAGG
rnacentral:rRNA from 1 species